rnacentral:tRNA from 1 species
GGCCCCAUCGUCUAGAGGGCAAGGACACCGUCCUUUCACGGCGGUAACCCGGGUUCGAAUCCCGGUGGGGACGCCA